UUAACUCAAAUUUGUAAGGGGUUGGAACGUUUGCCUAGAGCGCUGUUCCAACUGCAUACAAAUUUGAGUUA
rfam:Bombyx mori DNA, contig: Bm_scaf49_contig26067, strain: p50T/Dazao, build 2, whole genome shotgun sequence.